rnacentral:rRNA from 1 species
CUUAAUUGGGCGUUAAGUUGCAGGGUAUAGACCCGAAACCCGGUGAUCUAGCCAUGGGCAGGUUGAAGGUUGGGUAACACUAACUGGAGGACCGAACCGACUAAUGUUGAAAAAUUAGCGGAUGACCUGUGGCUGGGGGUGAAAGGCCAAUCAAACCGGGAGAUAGCUGGUUCUCCCCGAAAGCUAUUUAGGUAGCGCCUCGUGAAUUCAUCUCCGGGGGUAGAGCACUGUUUCGGCUAGGGGGCCAUCCCGGCUUACCAACCCGAUGCAAACUGCGAAUACCGGAGAAUGUUAUCACGGGAGACACACGGCGGGUGCUAACGUCCGUCGUGAAGAGGGAAACAACCCAGACCGCCAGCUAAGGUCCCAAAGUCAUGGUUAAGUGGGAAACGAUGUGGGAAGGCCCAGACAGCCAGGAUGUUGGCUUAGAAGCAGCCAUCAUUUAAAGAAAGCGUAAUAGCUCACUGGUCGAGUCGGCCUGCGCGGAAGAUGUAACGGGGCUAAACCAUGCACCGAAGCUGCGGCAGCGACGCUGAUGCGUUGUUGGGUAGGGGAGCGUUCUGUAAGCCUGCGAAGGUGGCCUGUGAGGGUUGCUGGAGGUAUCAGAAGUGCGAAUGCUGACAUAAGUAACGAUAAAGCGGGUGAAAAGCCCGCUCGCCGGAAGACCAAGGGUUCCUGUCCAACGUUAAUCGGGGCAGGGUGAGUCGACCCCUAAGGCGAGGCCGAAAGGCGUAGUCGAUGGGAAACGGGUUAAUAUUCCCGUACUUGGUGUUACUGCGAAGGGGGGACGGAGAAGGCUAUGUUGGCCGGGCGACGGUUGUCCCGGUUUAAGCGUGUAGGUGUGUGUUCCAGGUAAAUCCGGUUCACUUUAACACUGAGGCGUGACGACGAGGCACUACGGUGCUGAAGCAACAAAUGCCCUGCUUCCAGGAAAAGCCUCUAAGCAUCAGGUAACAUCAAAUCGUACCCCAAACCGACACAGGUGGUCAGGUAGAGAAUACCAAGGCGCUUGAGAGAACUCGGGUGAAGGAACUAGGCAAAAUGGUGCCGUAACUUCGGGAGAAGGCACGCUGACAUGUAGGUGAAGUGAUUUACUCAUGGAGCUGAAGUCAGUCGAAGAUACCAGCUGGCUGCAACUGUUUAUUAAAAACACAGCACUGUGCAAACACGAAAGUGGACGUAUACGGUGUGACGCCUGCCCGGUGCCGGAAGGUUAAUUGAUGGGGUCAGCGCAAGCGAAGCUCCUGAUCGAAGCCCCGGUAAACGGCGGCCGUAACUAUAACGGUCCUAAGGUAGCGAAAUUCCUUGUCGGGUAAGUUCCGACCUGCACGAAUGGCGUAAUGAUGGCCAGGCUGUCUCCACCCGAGACUCAGUGAAAUUGAACUCGCUGUGAAGAUGCAGUGUACCCGCGGCAAGACGGAAAGACCCCGUGAACCUUUACUAUAGCUUGACACUGAACAUUGAGCCUUGAUGUGUAGGAUAGGUGGGAGGCUUUGAAGUGUGGACGCCAGUCUGCAUGGAGCCGACCUUGAAAUACCACCCUUUAAUGUUUGAUGUUCUAACGUGGACCCGUGAUCCGGGUUGCGGACAGUGUCUGGUGGGUAGUUUGACUGGGGCGGUCUCCUCCUAAAGAGUAACGGAGGAGCACGAAGGUUGGCUAAUCCUGGUCGGACAUCAGGAGGUUAGUGCAAUGGCAUAAGCCAGCUUGACUGCGAGCGUGACGGCGCGAGCAGGUGCGAAAGCAGGUCAUAGUGAUCCGGUGGUUCUGAAUGGAAGGGCCAUCGCUCAACGGAUAAAAGGUACUCCGGGGAUAACAGGCUGAUACCGCCCAAGAGUUCAUAUCGACGGCGGUGUUUGGCACCUCGAUGUCGGCUCAUCACAUCCUGGGGCUGAAGUAGGUCCCAAGGGUAUGGCUGUUCGCCAUUUAAAGUGGUACGCGAGCUGGGUUUAGAACGUCGUGAGACAGUUCGGUCCCUAUCUGCCGUGGGCGCUGGAGAACUGAGGGGGGCUGCUCCUAGUACGAGAGGACCGGAGUGGACGCAUCACUGGUGUUCGGGUUGUCAUGCCAAUGGCACUGCCCGGUAGCUAAAUGCGGAAGAGAUAAGUGCUGAAAGCAUCUAAGCACGAAACUUGCCCCGAGAUGAGUUCUCCCUGAGACUUUAGGUCUCCUGAAGGAACGUUGAAGACGACGACGUUGAUAGGCCGGGUGUGUAAGCGCAGCGAUGCGUUGAG